GAGUCACUCCGGCGCUGCUCUUGUGCCUCGUGUGUGUUGGACAACCAGCCCACGUUGCUUUCUAAUACCUGUGAGACUUUUCUUUUCAAGAUGCCUGAGGAAGUGCACCAUGGAGAGGAGGAGGUGGAAACUUUUGCCUUUCAGGCAGAAAUUGCCCAACUCAUGUCUCCCAUCAGCAAUACCUGCUAUUUCAACAAGGAGAUUUUCCUUCGGGAGUUGAUCUCUAAUGCUUCUGAUGCCUUGGACAAGAUUUGCUAUGAGAGCCUGACAGACCCUUCCAAGUUGGACAGUGGUAAAGAGCUGAAAAUUGAAAUUAUCCCCAACCAUCAGAAACGUACCUUGACUUUGGUAGACACAGGCAUUGGCAUGACCAAAGCAGAUCUCAUAAAUAAUUUGGAAACCAUUGCCAAGCCUGGUACUCAAGCAUUCAUGGAGGUUCUUUAGGCUGGUGCAGACAUCUCCAUGAUUGGGCAAUUUGGUGUUGGCUUUUAUUCUGCCUACCUGGUGGCAGAGAAUGUGGUCGUGAUCACAAAGCACAACGACGAUGAACAGUAUGCCUGGGAGUCUUCUGCUGGAGGUUCCUUCGCUGUGCGUGCUGACCAUGGUGAGCUCAUUGGCAGGGGUACUAAAGUGAUCCUCUACCUUAAAGAAGAUCAGACAGAGUACUUAGAAGAAAGGCGGGUCAAGAAGUGGUGAAGAAGCACUCUCAGUUCAUAGGCUGUCCUGUCACCCUUUAUUUGGAGAAGCAACAAGAGAAGGAAAUUAGUGAUGAUGAGGCAGAGGAAGAGAAAGGUGAGAAAGAAAAGGAAGAUAAAGAUGGUGAGAAAAGCCCAAGACUGAAGAUGUGGGUUCAGAUGAGGAUGAUAGCGGUAAGGAUAAGAAGAAGAAAACUAAGAAGAUCAAAGAGAAAUACAUUGAUCAGGAAGAACUAAACAAGACCAAGCCUAUUUGGACCAGAAACCCUGAUAACAUUAUUCAAGAGGAGUAUGGAGAAUUCUACAAACCUCACCAAUGACUGGGAAGACCACUUGGGAGUCAAGCACUUUUCUGUAGAAGGUCAGUUGGAAUUCAGGGCAUUGCUGUUCAUACCUCAUCAGUAUGAAAAGCAACCUCCCUUUGACCUUUUUGAGAACAAGAAGAAAAAGAACAACAUCAAACCCUAUGUCCAUCGUGUAUUCAUCAUGGACAGCUGUGAUGAGCUGAUACCAGAGUAUCUCAACUUUAUCCGUGGUGGGGUUGACUGAGGAUUUACCUCUGAACAACUCCCGAGAAAUGCUCCAGCAGAGCAAAAUCUUGAAAGUCAUUCGCAAAAACAUUAAGAAGUGCCUUGAGCUCUUCUCUGAGCUGGUGGAAGACAAGGAAACUUACAAGAAAUUCUAUGAGGCAUUCUCUAAAAAUCUCAAGCUUGGAAUUCAUGAGGAUUCCACUAAUCAACGCCGCCUGUCUGACCUGCUGCGCUAUCACACCUCCCAGUCUGGAGAGGAGAUGACAUCUCUGUCAGAGUAUGUUUCUCACAUGAAGGAGACACAGAAGUCCAUCUAUUACAUCACUGGUGAGAGUAAAGAGCAGGUGGCCAACUCAGCUUUUGUGGAGAGAGUGUGGCUUCGAGGUGGUAUAUGUGACUGAGCCCAUUGACAAAUACUGUGUGCAGCAGCUAAAGGAGUUUGAUGGGAAGAGCCUUGUCUCAGUUACCAAGGAGGGUCUGCAGAUACCGGAGGAUGAGGAGGAAAAGAAGAAAAUGGAAUGGAGCAUGGCAAACUUUGAGAACCUCUGCAAGCUCAUGAAAUAAAUCUUAAAUAAGAAGAUUGAGAAGGUGACAAUCUCCAGUAGACUUGUGUCUUCACCCUGCUGCAUUGUGACCAGCACUUACGGCUGGACAGCCAAUAUGGAGCAGAUUAGGAAAGCUCAGGGACUUCGGGACAACUCCACCAUGGGCUACAUGAUGGCCAAAAAGCACCUGGAGAUCAACCCUGACCACCCUAUUGUGGAGAUGCUGCAGCAGAGGGCUGAGGCAGACAAGAAUGACAAGGCAGUCAAGGACCUUGUCGUGCUGCUGUUUGAAACCACCCUGCUCUCUUCUGGCUUUUCCCUUGAGAAUCCCCAAACCCACUCCAACUGCAUCUACUGCAUGAUCAAGCUAGGUCUACGUAUCGAUGAAGAUGAAGUGGCAGCAGAGGAACCCAGUGCUGCAGUUCCUGAUGAGAUCUCCCCUCUUGAGGAUGAUGAGGAUGCGUCUCGCAUGGAAGAAGUAGAUUAGGGGUUCGUAGUUGGAAAACUGCCCUUGUAUAGUGUCCCCAUGGCUCCCACUGCAGCCUUGGGUGCCCCUGUCCCACCUGGCUCCCUACGCUGAUGUCUGGUAUUUUUUUUCUCUCCUGUCCUUCUGUUGAAGGCAGGAAACAAGGGUGUCAAGUCCCCAUUCUUUCCCUACUCUGAUAGCAGGAUUGGAUGUUGUGUAUUGUGGGGCUUUUUUUGUUUGUCUGUUCAUUUUGUUCUGAAAUUAAAGUAUGCAAAAUAAAAAAAUAAAUUUUUAUUAAA